rnacentral:rRNA from 1 species
UGUUGGGGUAACGGCCCAACAAGCCCGUGAUCGAUACGGGUUGUGAGAGCAAGAGCCCGGAGAUGGAUUCUGAGACACGAAUCCAGGCCCUACGGGGCGCAGCAGGCGCGAAAACUUUACAAUGCGGGCAACCGUGAUAAGGGAACCUCGAGUGCCUGUAUAUGCAGGCUGUCUGGGUGUCUAAAACACACCUAAAGAAAGGGCCGGGCAAGACCGGUGCCAGCCGCCGCGGUAAUACCGGCGGCUCGAGUGGUGGCCACUUUUAUUGGGCUUAAAGCGUUCGUAGCUGGGUUAUUAAGUCCCUUGGGAAAUCCGACGGCUUAACCGUCGGGCGUCUAAGGGAUACUGGCAAUCUUGGAACCGGGAGAGGUGAGGGGUACUUCGGGGGUAGGAGUGAAAUCCUGUAAUCCUCGAGGGACCACCUGUGGCGAAGGCGCCUCACCAGAACGGCUUCGACAGUGAGGGACGAAAGCUGGGGGAGCAAACCGGAUUAGAU